GAAUUCUUAGUGGCGAACGGGUGAGUAACGCGUAGGCACCUGCCCUUUAGACGGGGACAACAUUCCGAAAGGAGUGCUAAUACCGGAUGUGGCCGCAUGGCGAAAGAUGGCCUUCAAGAAGCUAUCGCUAAAGGAUGGGCCUGCGUCUGAUUAGCUAGUUGGUAGUGUAACGGACUACCAAGGCGAUGAUCAGUAGCCGGUCUGAGAGGAUGAACGGCCACAUUGGGACUGAGACACGGCCCAAACUCCUACGGGAGGCAGCAGUGGGGAAUCUUCCGCAAUGGACGAAAGUCUGACGGAGCAACGCCGCGUGAGUGAUGAAGGAUUUCGGUCUGUAAAGCUCUGUUGUUUAUGACGAAGUGCAGUGUGUGAACAAUGCAUUGCAAUGACGGUAGUAAACGAGGAAGCCACGGCUAACUACGUGCCAGCAGCCGCGGUAAUACGUAGGUGGCGAGCGUUGUCCGGAAUUAUUGGGCGUAAAGAGCAUGUAGGCGGCUUAAUAAGUCGAGCGUGAAAAUGCGGGGCUCAACCCCGUAUGGCGCUGGAAACUGUUAGGCUUGAGUGCAGGAGAGGAAAGGGGAAUUCCCAGUGUAGCGGUGAAAUGCGUAGAUAUUGGGAGG
rnacentral:rRNA from 1 species